UACAUGGGGUGCAAACGUUGCUCGGAAUCAUUGGGCGUAAAGCGUGCGUAGGCGGUUCCUCAAGUCCGUUGUGAAAGCCCCGGGCUCAACCUGGGAAUGGCAGUGGAAACUAGGGGACUGGAAUCUGGCAGAGGGGGGUGGAAUGCCGCGUGUAGCAGUGAAAUGCGUAGAGAUGCGGCGGAACACCGAUGGCGAAGGCAGCCCCCUGGGCUGAGAUUGACGCUCAGGCACGAAAGCGUGGGGAGCAAACAGG
rnacentral:rRNA from 1 species